GCAAUCAAACGCCAAGCCGCCGAUCCGAAUAGCCAGUGUGUUCCCAACCCAAAACCCGAAAACUGACCAACGUUCUCCAGCGGACACGUUCCGAAUUGGGCCUGACCCCCGAAGCCAAGAAAAGGUGAGUACCAGAAAAACAACCCUAGAAUUCCCGACGAAUUCCAGCAUACCGAAGGAACUCAGCGGGAUCCAGCCAACGGAGGAGACUUUGAAACCUGACCCCAAGCAACCGUCUAUUCUCCGACGCUCCUUGCGUAUAGUCAACCGCAUAUUGAAGAACUUCACGGACAUUUCCAAAGAUCUGAUAACACGAACGGAAGCCCCCCAAAAAGAAGUCGCUCAAAGAACAUAUCUUCUCCACCCGAGGAAGGGAUGACCCAUAAUAAAAGCUUACUUCUUGACCUACUCAACAGGGGCAGCGUAAAGGAACUGCAGAAAAUCCCCGGUAUCGGUCCAAAGACAGCCUAUACAUUGGUUAUGCAUAGAUUUAACGUGGGAUGCUUCCUGAAUUUCGAACAAGUAAAAGGCCUGCCUAUUUGACCCGGAAAGAGCUGGAAUAGGUUUUGCCAAGUCAACUGCCUGGAGAUUUGAUAAUAAUACUUAUAUAAGAACAGUUUAUUGUUUAAUUAUCUAUAGGGUUUUUCUUAUGAUUUACAAAAUCCUUUUUAAUAUGUAGAAAACGAAAAGGAGCAGGAUAUCAGAGUAUCUUGACACUUACAAUGAGGUUUUUUGUGUAAUAUGUGUAAUAUUUCUUUAUGUUUAUUUUUGUUUGUCUUUUUUUUACUAUGUAUGGAUCGAUGUAAGUUAGAUUACUUCUCUUAUAAGCUCUACCAAUGUCUUAAAAUAGGUACAUAAUGUGAAAACCUUUUUAUAUAGAUCACACUAAAAUUACUUGUAAACUUCCAACACUGUUCGAAUAGAGCUUUAAAAAAAAGGGGAAUUAAAUCCAGAAUCUGAAUUUAAAAAAUAAAAGUGCGAUACAAAUAAA